rnacentral:rRNA from 1 species
UACAGAGGUCUCAAGCGUUGUUCGGAUUCAUUGGGCGUAAAGGGUGCGUAGGUGGCGAGGUUAGUCAGGUGUGAAAUCUCGGGGCUCAACCCCGAAACUGCACUUGAUACUGCCUUGCUAGAGUACUGGAGAGGAGAUUGGAAUUUACGGUGUAGCAGUGAAAUGCGUAGAUAUCGUAAGGAAGACCAGUGGCGAAGGCGAAUCUCUGGGCCGAUACUGACGCUGAGGAGCGAAAGCGUGGGGAGCGAACAGG